rnacentral:rRNA from 1 species
GACGAACGCUGGCGGCGUGCUUAACACAUGCAAGUCGAACGAUGAAGCCUUAGCUUGCUUUGGUGGAUUAGUGGCGAACGGGUGAGUAACACGUGAGCAACGUGCCCGGGACUCUGGAAUAACCGCGGGAAACCGUGGCUAAUACCGGAUAGGUGCCGAGGCCGCAUGGUCUUCGGUUGGAAAGUUUUUGCGGUUCUGGAUCGGCUCACGGCCUAUCAGCUUGUUGGUGGGGUAAUGGCCUACCAAGGCGACGACGGGUAGCCGGCCUGAGAGGGUGACCGGCCACACUGGGACUGAGACACGGCCCAGACUCCUACGGGAGGCAGCAGUGGGGAAUAUUGCACAAUGGGCGCAAGCCUGAUGCAGCAACGCCGCGUGGGGGAUGACGGCCUUCGGGUUGUAAACCUCUUUUAGUAGGGAAGAAGCGCAAGUGACGGUACCUGCAGAAAAAGCACCGGCUAACUACGUG